CACGUAGGGGGCAAGCGUUGUCCGGAUUUAUUGGGCGUAAAGAGCGUGUAGGCGGCCAGACAAGUCUGCUGUGAAAACUCGAGGCUCAACCUCGAGCUGUCGGUGGAAACUGUCUGGCUAGAGUCCGGAAGAGGAGAGUGGAAUUCCUGGUGUAGCGGUGAAAUGCGCAGAUAUCAGGAAGAACACCUAUGGCGAAGGCAGCUCUCUGGGACGGUACUGACGCUGAGACGCGAAAGCGUGGGGAGCGAACAGG
rnacentral:rRNA from 1 species